AGCGAACGCUGGCGGCAGGCCUAAUACAUGCAAGUCGAGCGCACCUUCGGGUGAGCGGCGGACGGGUGAGUAACGCGUGGGAAUAUGCCCUUUGGUACGGAACAACUGAGGGAAACUUCAGCUAAUACCGUAUGUGCCCUUCGGGGAAAGAUUUAUCGCCAUUGGAGUAGCCCGCGUUGGAUUAGCUAGUUGGUAGGGUAAAGGCCUACCAAGGCUACGAUCCAUAGCUGGUCUGAGAGGAUGAUCAGCCACAUU
rnacentral:rRNA from 1 species